rnacentral:lncRNA from 1 species
CCUAGUGUCUGUCCUCAGCGGCUGCGGCCAGGGCUGGAGAGGUGUUCAUGGCCCAGGAAGGACAGAAAAGAAACCACUGCCUGAGGGUCUGGCUCAGCUCUGCAAUCCCUCCUCCCCAGGAAAUCCACUUUGGGAGGCUGAGACAGGAGGAUCCCUCAAGGCCAAGAGUUCAAGACCAGCCUGGGCAACAUAGUGAAACCCCGUCUCUACAUAAAUAAAAAUAAAAAAUAAAAACAAAUUAGCCAGGUGUGGUGGCACAUGCCUGUAGUCCUGGCUACUACGGAGGCUGAGGUGGGAGGAUCACUUGAGCCCAGGAGGUUGAGGCUUCAGUGAGCUACGAUUGUACUACUGCACUCCAGUUGGGGUGACAGAGUCAGGUC